GAUGAACGCUGGCGGCGUGCUUAACACGUGCAAGUCGAACGGAAAGGCCCUGCUUUUGUGGGGUGCUCGAGUGGCGAACGGGUGAGUAACACGUGAGUAACCUGCCCUUGACUUUGGGAUAACUUCAGGAAACUGGGGCUAAUACCGGAUAGGAGCUCCUGCUGCAUGGUGGGGGUUGGAAAGUUUCGGCGGUUGGGGAUGGACUCGCGGCUUAUCAGCUUGUUGGUGGGGUAGUGGCUUACCAAGGCUUUGACGGGUAGCCGGCCUGAGAGGGUGACCGGCCACAUUGGGACUGAGAUACGGCCCAGACUCCUACGGGAGGCAGCAGUGGGGAAUAUUGCACAAUGGGCGGAAGCCUGAUGCAGCAACGCCGCGUGCGGGAUGACGGCCUUCGGGUUGUAAACCGCUUUCGCCUGUGACGAAGCGUGAGUGACGGUAAUGGGUAAAGAAGCACCGGCUAACUACGUG
rnacentral:rRNA from 1 species